AUAGUGCACAUAUUUUGAACACGCAAUAAGACAUGUUUUGACUAACGUACAAAAAUGAGUGAAAAUAUUAAAGUUGUAGUUCGUUGCCGUCCUAUGAACCGAAGUGAAAAUGAAAAUAAGUGUGAAAACAUUGUUGAAAUAAAUGAGUUCGCAGUUUCCGUGACAAAUCCUUCGGCUCGCCUCACUCCUAAAAAGAGGUUCUUAUUUGAUAGUGCUUAUGAUAUAAUCACAAAAACUGAAGUUAUAUAUAACGAAAUGUGCUAUUCGUUAGUAGAGAGUACCAUCGAAGGAUAUAAUGGAACCAUUUUUGCUUACGGCCAGACAGGUUGUGGAAAAACACAUACAAUGCAGGGCAAUGAAAAAGUAAGCAGCGGUAGUGGAAUAAUUCCUAAAUGUUUUGAUCACAUAUUCGAGACAAUAUCAAUGGCAAAUAACGUCAGAUAUUUGGCCCUCGUUAGCUACUUGGAAAUUUACAAUGAAAAUAUUCGAGACUUGCUUAAUACAAAUGAAUGUACGAACAUGAUAAAUCAUUCUCUUAAAGAAAUUCCAGGUAUUGGUGUUUCAGUUCCCACUCUGACCACCCAUCCCGUUAUGAAUGCACGCCAAUGUUACGAUUUGCUUAUCUUGGGAAACAAAAACCGCGUUACUGCAGCAACGUCAAUGAAUGAAAAAAGCUCCCGUUCGCACACUAUAUUUACUAUUACUUUGGAACAAUCUCCAUUUUUUAAUAGCAUUGGGACAGAAAAUGACUUAGGAGGAAUACGACGUGGAAAAUUAAGCUUAGUUGACCUAGCGGGCUCAGAGAGACAGCGUAAAACUGGAGCUCAAGGGGAUCGACUCAAAGAAGCGUCUAAAAUAAAUUUAUCACUUUCUGCCUUGGGAAACGUAAUUUCAUCUUUGGUUGAUGGUAAAGCAAAGCAUGUACCGUUCAGGGACUCAAAACUUACACGUCUGCUCCAGGAUUCCUUAGGAGGUAACACAAAAACUUUAAUGAUAUCUUGUAUAUCACCAUCAGACAUAAAUUAUGAUGAAACGAUAUCUACACUCAGAUAUGCAAGUAGAGCAAAGAAUAUUUCUAAUAGACCCACAAUUAAUGAAGAUCCUAAAGAUGCCAAGCUUCGGCAGUACCAAAAGGAAAUAUUAAAUUUGAAAAGAAUGCUUGAAGAGACUCAACAAAAAAUGAUUUACAGAAAUGAUGAACAAAUUAAUUUAAUUGAAUUAUCUAUGGCGAAUUUAGAUGUUAAAAGUCUAAAUUCAAAGAAAGAGGUUCAAAUAAUUGAAUCAGGUAAAAAUUCUGAUGUUCCGCGCAAAACCACAAAUUCAUUAUCAAUAGAGACAAUACAAUUCAAGGAAGAAAUGCAAUUGCAAGCCCGAAAUCGCAUAGACUCUAUUAAACGCACUCUAGUUGGAGGUGAACGUGUUGAUGACCUAAAACUAAAAGAACAGCACCAAGCUAAAAAAAUGGCAGCACAACGUCACUUAAGUGCUAUCGCCUAUGCAUUAAACAGAGUUCAAUGUGAGGAUCGUGAUCUCUUGCAGGGACAUUAUGCUACUAUAACCCAAGAAAUAAAUAUAAAAAAUAAUCACAUUAAGAAGUGUAAAGAAAAAAUUAAAAUGCUUGAAAUGGAAGUUUCCGAUUUAAACUCUGAGUUUCAAUUGGAUAGAGAGGAUUAUUUGGACGAAAUACGAAAUCUUGGUCGUCAAAUAAAGUUUUAUCAACAAUUGGUUUAUAAAUUUAAUCCAAGUUUUCAAAAAAAUGGAAGAAACUGGACUCCGGAUAUUGUAUUGCGUAAUUCUUCAUGGAAUGAUGAUCUUAAAAUUUGGAGGAUUCCAGAGAUCGAUUUAUUUAAACUUCCCCCUACUCCGAAAACGGGAUUUCAUCGUAUUCAUUGUUCAAUUAGCGAUAAUAAUAAUUGGAAACAUACUAACUUUCAAAUCAACCGGGAUGCAAAGAAAUCUGAAAUAUAUGAGAAAAAUGAAAACCUUUCUAAAGAAAAAUACAACAUCGAUGUACAAAGAAACUAUUUUAGAACCAGUCGACCUAAGCUCAAAGAGUUUGGAGAAUUUAAGAACACUUUAAUGCGAUUUAAAGGAGUAUACGAUACAACUGGUAGCUAACGUAAUACAUUCAAACGCUUAUUCUGGAGUGUCACAAAAUAUAAUAGAGUCCUUUAUUUAAAAAAUUUUAAUACCUACCAACAUAUAUGGUUAAUAAACUUUUAAAAUAUUUUUGCAGUGCUUUAUUAGAAGCCUAUUUUAAUUCUGUACACAGAAUUGUAACAAGUCGCUUCGGCGGCGUUAGGUACCAAACAGGAUGUAGACGUCUCUUCCAUGCGAAUUUCCAUUCUUACUACGAAACCGUCCUGAACACGGUUUCUAAAUCUCAAAAUGAUAGUGCAAAGAUAUUUGACCAAAAUAUCGUAUACCUCACAUAUUUCAUAAAAAGUGAUGUGCAUUUUAUAUAGUUUCUCAUUUAUCUAUAUUAACGGUAUUUAAUUUCCCAUUUAUCUAUAUUAACGGUACUCACAAUUGGUGAUUAUUUAAUUUUUAAUUUUACCAAAACAUAUUCCAACAAUUUUUUUAACGCCCAUUCUUGUCGACUUUUUAGUCCGUACCGGCACCGGCUGAAUUAACUGCUUAAUUUGUUUAUAAAUUCUGCCCUGGUAGUCGUGACAACCAAAAUGUAAUAACGUAUUUACAUGUACAUUCAUUCAAAGUUGGUCACGCCCAGAAAGUAACGCAAGGGACAGGCCGAAUGGCAAACGACUAGGAAAACUAAGAACUUCGGGUGUAAAUCUGGAUAAAUUCGCAUUUAAAUAAGCCACUACUUGGCCUGAUGCCAGCAAAAAACGGAUUCCCAAAAAGGGAAACUGGUGCACUACGGUUAGUUGCGUAGGACUAGUCCAAGGAUAAUAUAAUUUUUCCCGGUUAUUUGUAACAAAAUUAUGCCGAUUGGAAACUGCCGCGCUGCCUUACAACAACAUGCAAGGAAAUCCCUACACAACAUGCGCACAACAAUUCAGUAGGUA